rnacentral:misc_RNA from 1 species
UGAGCUCAGUGGUCCUGACUCAAGUUGGCUACGAUCUUCCAACAAAUUAUUUGCCUGAAUAACUGCCAUUGAGAAUUCCCCAUUAAUAUGGCGGCCAGAAUCCUUGUACCACAACAGCCCGUCAACCCGACCACUUGCAUCCCCACCUCUACUGGAAUUUUCGCCUUCAACCAAGGGUUUCCAGCAAGGUGAUACAAUCUUCAUCAAAGUUUCA